CCUGCCCGUGACUCCCUUGUGUGUAUUCUAGAGUGAUUUUCUUCCGGGUUUCCCUUGUGUCCUUUUGAUUUCAGACUGUGGUAAUACGUUCUGGUGGAGUCAUCCCUUCGAAGAUUCACAAAAACUCACAGAGAGAGAGACCAUUUUAAGCCUUCACGUCAACAGACCCACGUCUGACUAGGAUUAAACUCUAGUAGGCAAAUGUCAGCUGAGAGGAGGAGCAGGAGAGCAGGGCCAACCAAACCUUGGGGUGGGGUUAACUCCCCACAUGACAUCAUGAUGGGAAAAUCCAAGAACAGCUUGUUACAGCACACAUGUUCUAAAAGGUGGAGAAAAAGAG